rnacentral:rRNA from 1 species
GACGAACGCUGGCGGCGUGCUUAACACAUGCAAGUCGAACGGAAAGGCCCUGCUUUUUUGGGGUUCCCGAGUGGCGAACGGGUGAGUAACACGUGAGUAACCUGCCCUUGACUUUGGGAUAACUUCAGGAAACUGGGGCUAAUACCGGAUAGGAGCUCCUGCUGCAUGGUGGGGGUUGGAAAGUUUCGGCGGUUGGGGAUGGACUCGCGGCUUAUCAGCUUGUUGGUGGGGUAGUGGCUUACCAAGGCUUUGACGGGUAGCCGGCCUGAGAGGGUGACCGGCCACAUUGGGACUGAGAUACGGCCCAGACUCCUACGGGAGGCAGCAGUGGGGAAUAUUGCACAAUGGGCGGAAGCCUGAUGCAGCAACGCCGCGUGCGGGAUGACGGCCUUCGGGUUGUAAACCGCUUUCGCCUGUGACGAAGCGUGAGUGACGGUAAUGGGUAAAGAAGCACCGGCUAACUACGUG